UAAAUGCACCACUGGCCCAAAGGUCCAAAGACUUGGAAGAGGACAAUGAAGGGGAAGAGCUCAGGUAAAAGGUGUGAUGUAUCACCCCAAAACCAGGCGUCUUUGAUCCGGAUUCCACAAUCAUACCCAUUUAACGUGUCCACCGGCGCGGGCGCAUCCAUCCCAGCCCGGGUAAGAAACAGAAACGGACACUGUACAAUUGUUUCCGGAGACGUAAUGUUAGGACUGCAGGCAAACACAUAUGGGCCCUAAGGGGCCCCAAAGGGACAAAGCAGCAGAGAAGCUGGGGGCAUCCAGCCGCCAGCCCUCAGCCACAGAGACCCCCAGUCCAGAACCACACACCGGCACAGCAUAUUCCCAGGGUCAGUGAACAGGACAUCAGCAGCUGCCAGGGGCUGCGUACCGGAGCUUAUAUUGGCAAUGAGACGCGCAGCAUCGAGUUCAAACUAGGCAGAGGAAUAUAUAUGGAGAACAAUUUCAGGAAACAGGU